AAUUUGGCUAAUAUCAAAGUGAAGAAAUUCAAUGAAGCAUGGGUAAAUGGCAGGAGUAACUAUGACUCUCUUAAGGUAGCCAAAUGCCUCGUCAUCUAAUUAGUGAUGCACAUGAAUGGAU
rnacentral:ncRNA from 1 species